UACGUAGGGACCGAGCGUUGUCCGGAAUCAUUGGGCGUAAAGAGCGUGUAGGCGGCCGCUUAAGUCCUGCGUGAAAUCUUGCGGCUCAACCGCAAAGCGGUCGUGAGAAACUGGGAGACUAGAGUGCGGGAUGGGAGAGUAGAAUUCCUGGUGUAGCGGUGAAAUGCGUAGAUAUCAGGAGGAAUACCGGUGGUGUAGACGGCUCUCUGGACCGCCACUGACGCUGAGACACGAAAGCGUGGGUAGCAAACAGG
rnacentral:rRNA from 1 species